GAUGAACGCUAGCUACAGGCUUAACACAUGCAAGUCGAGGGGCAUCAGGAAGAAAGCUUGCUUUCUUUGCUGGCGACCGGCGCACGGGUGAGUAACACGUAUCCAACCUGCCCUUUACUCGGGGAUAGCCUUUCGAAAGAAAGAUUAAUACCCGAUAGUAUAAUGAUUCCGCAUGGUUUCAUUAUUAAAGGAUUCCGGUAAAGGAUGGGGAUGCGUUCCAUUAGGUUGUUGGUGAGGUAACGGCUCACCAAGCCUUCGAUGGAUAGGGGUUCUGAGAGGAAGGUCCCCCACAUUGGAACUGAGACACGGUCCAAACUCCUACGGGAGGCAGCAGUGAGGAAUAUUGGUCAAUGGGGCCGAGAGCCUGAACCAGCCAAGUAGCGUGAAGGAUGACUGCCCUAUGGGUUGUAAACUUCUUUUAUACGGGAAUAAAGUGAGGCACGUGUGCCUUUUUGUAUGUACCGUAUGAAUAAGGAUCGGCUAACUCCGUG
rnacentral:rRNA from 1 species